UACGUAGGGUCCGAGCGUUGUCCGGAUUUAUUGGGCGUAAAGAGCUUGUAGGCGGUUUGUCGCGUCUGCUGUGAAAUCUCAAGGCUCAACCUUGAGCUUGCAGUGGGUACGGGCAGACUAGAGUGUGGUAGGGGAGACUGGAAUUCCUGGUGUAGCGGUGAAAUGCGCAGAUAUCAGGAGAAACACCGAUGGCGAAGGCAGGUCUCUGAGCCACUACUGACGCUGAGAAGCGAAAGCAUGGGGAGCGAACAGG
rnacentral:rRNA from 1 species